GCCGGUAUAACUCAGUGGAUAGAGUACCCCUCUCAUAAAGGGGACUGUCGUGGGUUCAAAUCCCACUACCGUA
rnacentral:tRNA from 1 species